UCCUAUCUCACUCAGCCACCGAAGCCCACACAUAUACACCCUCUAGUUCCCUCUAUUUCUCUCACUCCCUCAUUGGUAAACCAGCCAUCCACCACCACUUUUGGCGGAUUUCACCGGAGAAACCCAUUAGAAACCCCAUAUGCUCCAUUCUCUCAAAGCUUUAAAGGUUCUGAUAUUCUUGGUGAUGGACCUAGUGACUGGAUUAGUUGAUUUUGUAGUGCCCGGUUGAGGUGAAAUUGGUUGGCCUUCCGAGAAUCAGAUCUAGGUCAAUGCCCUUUCACUUUAGAUGACGCGUUCUUCCCUGCUGCCUAUGAGGGGAAGAGGUUCCUUGAUUGUGUGUGGGUGAGGCUGUUGCCUAUGGGGCCAAGAGACCACAUGCAAGAGAGGUCCUAUUUGACGCGCUCUCUCUGCUGCCCAUGGGAGGAGAGAAAAACCUUGAGCGUAUGGGUAAGGCUGCUAUCCAUGGGGCCAAGAGUCUGCAUACCAGAGAGGACAAUAUCAUGCCAGUUGUGAAUGGGUGGAUCCCCUGACCAGUCUAUGUGGCAGUAUGGUAGAUUUGUGAUAAAAUUACCGUGUGUAGAUUUUAUGGCUUUGGAAAUUAUAUUGUUAGUGCUCACAGAUUAUAAUAUACAAUUUCAUGGUAUUAUUUUGAGAAA